rnacentral:lncRNA from 1 species
CCUCCAGGCACCAGAUCUGUGUAUGAGCUUAAAAGGACCUUGCAGCCCAUUCCAGUCACUAAGAUGACUACAGCCCUAAUGUGACCCCAACGGUCACAGUGGAAAGAACAACCACACUGCGGAACCCUACCAUGCUACCAAUUCAUAAAAUGGGUCUAAAGAUGCUGCAGGAUUUCUGUUUGACCUGUGCAUGCUGAAGGAGCUCAAUUGCUGGGAUGAUGAUAUGCGGGAGAGAAAGAAUCAGAAUAAAAACAAGAACGUUUUAAGGAAAUAGAAGUGAGGACAAGGAGGAUCUCUGUUAACAAGUAUGCAGAAGAAGCCCAGGAUUUGAGAUUCUCCCAUGUGAG